UUAUUUAACAUAGUGAUGAUAGACCAUGUCAUACUCUCCCUGUUGAUGGCUGAUAAUUGGUGCACCAGCCUCCUGAGGACACGUUGCUCUGUGAUAACUGUCUUCACCUUCUUUCUCUGCUUCUGUGUCUGCAUCUAUGAAGGUUCCUUUGAAGGUGACUGUGAAACCUUUCCUGCUUCCUCAAACGCACACUGUUCAGUCCAGCCUCGCAUCUCUUAUAGCAAUACAAAAAGAAGACUAUAAAGGUUUACUUUCCUUAUGUUCCUGUCACUCUCCAAGAUUCGCAUCCAAACACAGACAGGCAUAUCUCUGAUGGCUCAGUUACAGAAAACAGCAUGCACAGUGUUGUAGAGGCAACCACAGCUGCUGUGAUUUCAUGAGGAUAGUGAUCUUGUCAUGUAUAGAAGAUACACUGUCUAAUAGCCA